rnacentral:sRNA from 1 species
UGAAAGUGUAUCUAGGGUUCCGGCUUUUAUAGCUUGACUUAUUGUAGAAUUGUGCUAUCUGGGCAUAAUAGUGACUAGGGAAGAUAGGUUGGCUGAAAAAGUGACUGGUCCGAGUGAUACAGGUAUUGCGGCCUUGCGAUACUACACCGAGGGGAGAAAAGCCCGGGCGGG